GUGACGGUGAAGAUGUAUCGACGUGGAGCUCCAGGCUGGCUGGGAAAGCCCCUGACCUCCACCAGCACCAUCCCCUACAACACACACGUCAUCUUCAGGAUCAACGGAGAGGAGACGGACGCCAGGAUCCCUGCUAACACCAUCCAAAGCAUCACACUCAGCAUAUGACCUUUUAACCCUGGUUAUGGCCCAACAGGUACCCUAUAUAGUUCACUAGUUUUUAGUGCGCUGGUAUAUGGAAUAGGGUACCAUUUUUUGGGAUACAUCGCAGACGGUGGAUCUGCAUGAGAAACUAGCCUCUUCUCCACAGUCUGCAGGUUUUAGGUGUGUGUGUGCUGUUUUCUAAACUACCAGGUUGGGUAUCUGCUGAAUCAGUCACUAUUUAAACUAAUUUACCCAACUCAUUAUUUUUGGCCCUUUAAGACCAGAAGGGCAAAAGGAGUCAAGGGGAUUGUUGAUAACUGAAGGACCCUGUAGUGAGGCUUCAGUGACGACCUUCUAUACUAGCUAUCACACAACAAUGAAAAAAAAAUAUAUAUAUAUAUAUAUCUGCUAUUUUUAGUUAUAAGAGUAGCUUUUUUUUAAUCACAUAGAUCACUUAGUUGUGCUACAUAGCAUCCUGCAGGCUACCAAAUGUCCCUUAACCACAGCUACACAGCAGGCUACCAAACGUCCCUUAACCACAGCUACACAGCAUCCUGCAGGCUACCAAACGUCCCUUAACCACAGCUACACUUGUCACCAUGUAAAUCAAACCAUUGUUAUGCUGAAAAUCUGUUUCAUAAUCAGCACUUAGCCUAAUGUAAACUCUCCCGUUCGCAAACCGACUCGACUUGUUCCAUCCGCAGUGGCCUGUCAUACUCAACGACAAUAUUAUGUUAAUGAAGAUGGUUCAGAACAAUUAGCCUGAUUAACUUCCUGUUGUUUUUGAAUGAUAAUUCUAGUGUUUGGCCCCUGCCACUAACGUAGACAUUAACUAGCCGUUAUGUCUGUCGGUUUGAUUGUGUCACCACUACAUGGUUCAGCUGCGGAGUGUCUACCUAACGUGCUAAUUGUUACAGUUAAAAACCGCUGGCCCCUUAGUGUUAACGAGGGCUGGGGAAGGUACCUGUAUUACUGGCUGGCCCCUAGUGUUAAUGAGGGCUGGGGAAGUUACCUGUAUUACUGGCUGGCCCCUAGUGUUAACGAGGGCUGGGGACAUUACCUGUGUUGCUGGCUGGCCCCUAGUGUUGAUGAGGGCUGGGGAAGUUGCCUGUAUUACCGGCUGGCCCCUAGUGUUAACGAGGGCUGGGGAAGUUACCUGUAUUACUGGCUGUAUUGGUUGGAUGGCGUGUGAUAAGGUCUGUUUUUCCUGAGUUUCUGUACGUUUUUUUCUUAUUAAUACCGUCUUCUCUCUGGCAAGAGGAUCUUCCAAGACCUCACGUGUUCAGACCAAACCUGGGUUCAAAUAGUAUUUUUAAAAUCAUUUUCAGUAAUUUAGCUGUGCUUUUAUUGAGCUUGCCUUGUUUCAAUAGAAAAGUCCCAAAAGUACAAACCUGGCACUCCAGGCAGGCUUAAGCAAACUCUUGAAGUAUUUGAAAGAUUGCAAAUAGUAUUUGACCCCAGGUCUGGUUCAACCAGGCUGCCCAGUACCACUUAAUUUCUAGCUUUUAGUGUUACUUCUCAUCAGUAGCACUACCUGUCACUCCACUGCUUUGCUAACAGCUAGCAAUUGUAUUUACUGUGUCUGGUAUUGGGCCUAAAUGAAGUUAUUUCUACCAGGAUAUCAGUGCCUUGAGCUAAUUCAGGAGAGGGGAAUCUCUGUGGCAUCUCGCUGACUAGCAUCUCUCUACCUGAAACGACACUAGACUCAACUCAAGCUCCUCACUUUCCCAAAGGUCUGUUUUUCUACAUGUGCCUGGGGGUUGGGAUGUUUGUUGGGUGUGGAAGCACUGAGCAGCACUACCCCGCGUGUGUGUAUAUAUAAUACCUACUCUCUAUUCUCAGUGAAACCGUGGUUGCCUUGGGGCAGCCAUUUUUCCAAGACAUUGUUCAUUGGUUUGUGUGUUGUUUUAUACCUAUGGGUGUGCAUUCAAAAUGGAUGUAUUGUGUUUAUGUAACUAUAGCCAUGUCUUAUGUUCUGAAUGUGUCGUUGGACUUGAUAUGUGCUCUCCUACUCAGCCGACUCAAUGGUUUGUUCUCAGGAAAAUGUAACUUUUUGAGACCGAUGCUCCAACUAGUUUUACAAAGCCAGUAGGCCUGCUGUGGGACUCUAAAAGUAGACUACAGUAGGUUUACAGAUUAUACUGAACGUUUUAAAACAAGUCUUGACAAUACUACAAGCAACUAUACCAUUUGUAUUCAAAGGCAUAAUUAAGCCAUACUCUGCAUGCUUAUUUUACUAUUUAUAUAAUUUCUUUUUUUUAAUAGAAAUCUUUAGUGAUUUAUUAAAUGAGCUAUUCAAAUGUUUGUACUACUUGAUGUUUUUAAAAAUAAAAUGGUGUCA
rnacentral:lncRNA from 1 species